UGGCUCAUCUGAUCAAAGAAAAAAAUGGUACCCGACUUCAAUGUCGAGUACCAGUUCCUUGCUGCUCCCUUCAGGGUGGAUGGGAAAGCUCGGCACAGAAUGGCGUCUGGCGUGCCAUGGAGCAGCAUCAUUAUCUGGAAAGCUUCCAAGUGGUCGAUCGGGUCUGAGGUCCCGUCGUAGCUUUCGAAUUGAGGAAGCUUGAAGUUUGGUGG
rnacentral:lncRNA from 1 species